AUUGAACGCUGGCGGCAGGCCUAACACAUGCAAGUCGAGCGGCAGCGGGAAAGUAGCUUGCUACUUUUGCCGGCGAGCGGCGGACGGGUGAGUAAUGCCUGGGAAAUUGCCCAGUCGAGGGGGAUAACAGUUGGAAACGACUGCUAAUACCGCAUACGCCCUACGGGGGAAAGCAGGGGACCUUCGGGCCUGGCGCGAUUGGAUAUGCCCAGGUGGGAUUAGCUAGUUGGUGAGGUAAUGGCUCACUAAGGCGACGAUCCCUAGCUGGUCUGAGAGGAUGAUCAGCCACACUGGAACUGAGACACGGUCCAGACUCCUACGGGAGGCAGCAGUGGGGAAUAUUGCACAAUGGGGGAAACCCUGAUGCAGCCAUGCCGCGUGUGUGAAGAAGGCCUUCGGGUUGUAAAGCACUCUCAGCGAGGAGGAAAGGUCAGUAGCUAAUACCUGCUGGCUGUGACGUUACUCGCAGAAGAAGCACCGGCUAACUCCGUGCCAGCAGCCGCCGUAAGAC
rnacentral:rRNA from 1 species